UGAUAAAAAUUCAACAUGCCUAAGAAGC
rnacentral:sRNA from 1 species